CAGUCGCCGCGGUAAUACGUAGGGUGCAAGCGUUAAUCGGAAUUACUGGGCGUAAAGCGUGCGCAGGCGGUUAUAUAAGACAGAUGUGAAAUCCCCGGGCUCAACCUGGGAACUGCAUUUGUGACUGUAUAGCUAGAGUACGGCAGAGGGGGAUGGAAUUCCGCGUGUAGCAGUGAAAUGCGUAGAUAUGCGGAGGAACACCGAUGGCGAAGGCAAUCUCCUGGGCCUGUACUGACGCUCAUGCACGAAAGCGUGGGGAGCAAACAGGAUUAGAUACCCGCGUAGUCCCUGUCUCUUAUAC
rnacentral:rRNA from 1 species